UCGAACCCUCGUUUCCAUUUCCUCCCCUGAUUCAGAUGCAUUCCAACCCUGUUGCCAUCGCAAUCUUCUGCCCACCUCCGAGUUAGAAUUCAUCAGUCCUCUCCUCCUCCUCCUCCGAUCUUCCGCUCCCGAUGGGCUCAGUCUCGUACGAUGCCGGACUGCCGCACUUGGUUUCCACCUUAAUAAUCAAGGGGACUUCAAUCUUACAUCUGCAACAGCCAGGCAAAGAGGAGUAUUGGAGUUUCUAAAUUUCAGCAAUGAUGAUUAUUAGUCGUGGUAAGGCCUCCCUGCAAUGUCCACUGGAUGAUAACUGCUGUGGUACUUCGCCUUGUUGGAAAUACCGAGGAAGAACUUUUGCAAAAGUCAACAAAAAGAUGGUCAACUUUGGCCAUCACUUGGACAGAGACAUUGACCCUUGUGCACCGGAUUUAUCCCCCUUUUUCUUCACUUGGACAUUGCACCAACCGGAGGGACCGAAUCCCAAAUGCGAGUAUGGAUAGUAGGACAUCUGCGGAGGAUAACCUCAAAAGAAGGAAGAUUAGAAAUUGAUGUGAUAGUUAUCUGCUAUUGGGACUGGCUUAUACACCAUUCAGAGACAAAUCUAGGAAUCUCAAACUCCUAGAUUUGGAAUAAAUGGAGUGCUGAGGACCAUCAACCUGGUCACAACUAUGAUGGUACCAGUGACUUGCGCAUUAAAAGAAAAAUUCUAUAGGGUCAAAACUCUGCUGCAUGACCAUUCAGAUGUUUUG